GCCUUCCUCAGGAUCACACCUGGAGAGUUUCCAAUACUCUAUCAGUUUUGGCUAUGGGAGGUAGAGUCAAGCAGAGGCCUACCCAAUCCAUUCCUAGCUUGCCCAGUGGCUAGCGAGUGGAAGGCAACCUGCUACAAGA
rnacentral:snoRNA from 1 species